GAUACGCGAAGAACCUUACCAGGUCUUGACAUCCCCCGCCGAUGCUUUAGAGAUAAAGCGGAGGUAGUUCGGGGAGGACAGGUGGUGCAUGGUUGUCGUCAGCUCGUGUCGUGAGAUGUUGGGUUAAGUCCCGCAACGAGCGCAACCCUAUUGCUAGUUACCAUCAUUAAGUUGGGGACUCUAGCGAGACUGCCAGUGAUAAACUGGAGGAAGGUGGGGGAUGACGUCAAAUCAUCAUGCCCCUUAUGACCUGGGCUACAAACGUGAUACAAUGGCUGGAACAAAGGGAUGCGAAGCAGUGAUGUGGAGCGAAACCCAUAAAAACAGUCUCAGUUCGGAUUGAAGUCUGCAACUCGACUUCAUGAAGUCGGAAUCGCUAGUAAUCGCGGAUCAGAACGCCGCGGUGAAUACGUUCUCGGGGUUU
rnacentral:rRNA from 1 species